CUUCCUGCUCCCGGGGGAGGGAAGCCUGGCCAGUCGGGGAUCUACCCGGUCAACCCCUGGCAUCCAAACUUCCACUCUUCCAAUGGGGGAGAAGGGAGGCAGAACCCCAAGUCCUCAAGCCUGGGGCAGCUUCAUUGGGUCCAGCCUUCAGCUGGUUUCUGGUCCCCCUAUCCUGGCAUCCGUACCGAGGGCUUUCUUGGAAUCUCAGAAAAACAUUGUCGUCCUCAGGCACAGGCGGCUUCACAUUAUUACAGCGCGUCCGGGCUGUUUGUAAAGUUUGCUUGCUUUCGGGAGCAUAGAGGCUAUUAAGCUGGGUCGCCACCCUCCAGCCUCAGUUUCCCUAGUGCUGCAAUUACAGGUACACACACCCCAUUUCUUUCCCUAUAUCCCUUGAAGAUGGAGGGAUCCCAUACUCCAGUUCCGGCCCCGAGACCUUAAGGCACACACCCCGCUCGCUCCCUUUGCAGAGAUUUGCAGUUUCCUAUUCCUGACCUCUGGGGGUUCUGGAUGGCCUUGCUCUGGAGCCCAGGCUAGCCUUCCUCCUGAGCUUGCUGGCAGUAUUAUAAGCUGGAGCCACACAAUGCUGGCUCUUUCUGAGUCUUGCUGCCCUCCACGCAGUCAAGGCUCGACCAGAAUCUCUGGGAUCUAGACUUGAGGUCCCCUGCCCAGCCUCGCUGCCUUCCCCUCCCCUCCUCCAGCCUGUGUGAAGUGGGGCUCGUGGCUCAGGCAAGCUGGGGCCAGGCCCGCUGCCCAUUCCGGGAGGGAAACUGAGGCACAGAGGAGGAAGAAACAGCCAGCUGAGGUUCACGCCCACCUUGACUGAGCAGCAGCAGUCAACUGCAUGGAAUGUUCAUUCUAUGCUCCGCCCAGGCCUAAACCCUCCCCUGGCUCAGCAGAUACCCAAGCAAUAAAUCAGAGAAUUGGGAAAUCCACCAUGAGC
rnacentral:lncRNA from 1 species